GGGGAGAGGGAAGCAUACCAGCAGGGUCACAGAGCUUGCAGUCAGAAAGACUUCUGGGAAGACAGACUGGGGACUGGACCAAGUUCUAUCUGCAUGCUUUGGGAAGGACCACAGAGGAUUCGGGCGGUGGCAGAAAAACCCUUCAAAACUAUCACCUGAAGACUUGCCCACCGCCACCUCAUUUAUCUCUUUUAAAAAAAAAUUACAAAUGCAAAAGAGCACAACUUGGGAAAAUGCCACGGAGCCAGGAAAAUGCCAACCUCCAAGUCCUCAAACAACAGCCAGCUCAUCCCGGAAGAUGGCAUGGCUGUGCACACGAGUGUGCAAACAUGCAUGCACAUAUGCACACAUGGAUACAGGCCGGGCUUUCAAAGUGGACAAAGAGAUGUUUGGGCGUCGCCAUGGUCAUUAACCUGCUUGUCAGCAAGUGCUCAUUGCAUUCCCAAGAUACAAGUGAACACUAAAGAGGAAAAGAAUAACCCAGAAUAAAACAGACUAAAGAGGGCGGGGGUAGCAGUUGUUGCAAAGUUCAGGCAAGCAGGCGGUGUUCCAGGAAUGGGUUGCUACCUUGGAGAACCAUUAGAACACGGAUGCAGCUCACAAGAGACUCGUGUGCUUAAAGACCUUUAAAGGCUCUCAUGCGGCUGUAUCCUUGACUGUCUGCAGAGCCGAACCAAUCAGACUCCUGCUCG
rnacentral:lncRNA from 1 species